CCCUGGUUAGCUCAGUCGGUAGAGCGCUCCACUUGUAAUGGAGAGGUCCCGGGUUCGAUACCCGGACCAGGCG
rnacentral:tRNA from 1 species